rnacentral:rRNA from 1 species
GACGAACGCUGGCGGCGUGCUUAACACAUGCAAGUCGAACGGAAAGGCCCUGCUUUUGUGGGGUGCUCGAGUGGCGAACGGGUGAGUAACACGUGAGUAACCUGCCCUUGACUUUGGGAUAACUUCAGGAAACUGGGGCUAAUACCGGAUAGGAGCUCCUGCUGCAUGGUGGGGGUUGGAAAGUUUCGGCGGUUGGGGAUGGACUCGCGGCUUAUCAGCUUGUUGGUGGGGUAGUGGCUUACCAAGGCUUUGACGGGUAGCCGGCCUGAGAGGGUGACCGGCCACAUUGGGACUGAGAUACGGCCCAGACUCCUACGGGAGGCAGCAGUGGGGAAUAUUGCACAAUGGGCGGAAGCCUGACGCAGCAACGCCGCGUGCGGGAUGACGGCCUUCGGGUUGUAAACCGCUUUCGCCUGUGACGAAGCGUGAGUGACGGUAAUGGGUAAAGAAGCACCGGCUAACUACGUGCCAGCAGCCGCGGUGAUACGUAGGGUGCGAGCGUUGUCCGGAUUUAUUGGGCGUAAAGGGCUCGUAGGUGGUUGAUCGCGUCGGAAGUGUAAUCUUGGGGCUUAACCCUGAGCGUGCUUUCGAUACGGGUUGACUUGAGGAAGGUAGGGGAGAAUGGAAUUCCUGGUGGAGCGGUGGAAUGCGCAGAUAUCAGGAGGAACACCAGUGGCGAAGGCGGUUCUCUGGGCCUUUCCUGACGCUGAGGAGCGAAAGCGUGGGGAGCGAACAGGCUUAGAUACCCUGGUAGUCCACGCUGUAAACGGUGGGUACUAGGUGUGGGGUCCAUUCCACGGGUUCCGUGCCGUAGCUAACGCUUUAAGUACCCCGCCUGGGGAGUACGGCCGCAAGGCUAAAACUCAAAGGAAUUGACGGGGCCCCGCACAAGCGGCGGAGCAUGCGGAUUAAUUCGAUGCAACGCGUAGAACCUUACCUGGGUUUGACAUGGAUCGGGAGUGCUCAGAGAUGGGUGUGCCUCUUUUGGGGUCGGUUCACAGGUGGUGCAUGGCUGUCGUCAGCUCGUGUCGUGAGAUGUUGGGUUAAGUCCCGCAACGAGCGCAACCCUUGUUCACUGUUGCCAGCACGUUAUGGUGGGGACUCAGUGGAGACCGCCGGGGUCAACUCGGAGGAAGGUGGGGAUGACGUCAAGUCAUCAUGCCCCUUAUGUCCAGGGCUUCACGCAUGCUACAAUGGCUGGUACAGAGAGUGGCGAGCCUGUGAGGGUGAGCGAAUCUCGGAAAGCCGGUCUCAGUUCGGAUUGGGGUCUGCAACUCGACCUCAUGAAGUCGGAGCCGCUAGUAAUCGCAGAUCAGCAACGCUGCGGUGAAUACGUUCCCGGGGCU